rnacentral:rRNA from 1 species
UGAGGAAUAUUGGGCAAUGCCCGCAAGGGUGACCCAGCAACGCCGCGUGGAGGAUGAAUGUCGUAAGAUUGUAAACUCCUGUUAGAGGGGAGGAAUAGUACCGGUUGGACCGGUAUAUGACUGUACCCUCAGAGAAAGCCCCGGCUAACUACGUGCCAGCAGCCGCGGUAAUACGCAGGGGGCAAGCGUUGUCCGGAUUUACUGGGUGUAAAGGGCGCGCAGGCGGGAUAAAAAGUCAGUGGUGAAAUCCUACAGCUUAACUGUAGAACUGCCUUUGAUACUUUUAUUCUUGAGUUCGGGAGAGAGAGACGGAAUUCCAGGUGUAGUGGUGAAAUACGUAGAUAUCUGGAAGAACACCAGUUGCGAAGGCGGUCUCUUGGUCCGACACUGACGCUGAGGCGCGAAAGCGUGGGGAG